GCUGUCCAUAUAGGCUCUAAGAGCAAGUAUAAUAGGGUGAUGUAGGCGGGCUGUAAAACAUUAAAUAUUAUAUUUUUGCUUAGUUGGAAGAGAGAGAAAAGGAUAGAGAAGAGAAGCGGGCUACUAGUUAACAGCGGGCUGCAGCACGUGCUCUAGGCACUUUGUGAGAGAGCAAGGUGGGCCAUGUAUCAACAAAGUAAUACAUAUUUAUAUAUAGCUAUUGUACUUACCAGCAGCUGGCUAUAUAUGACGUGGCAACAUCAUAUAGCCAACAGCUGGCUAUAUUAUUAACCAUGCUCUAAAAUCAUGGGUUCGUUUGACUAAUCCUGGAGGGAAAACUGCCCGAUGCAAUGCAGACACCCCUUCGUACAACGGGGCGAAGGUCGUCGUUAAGCACCGAUUCUUAUGUGAUUAGACGAUCGAUAAUUUUACACACGGACGCUUUCUCUCUCAUCAUUUUUCCCACCACGCAAUCAAAUAUCCUACAUGGGCUUUCUUAGAGAUGGCUGAGUCAACCUUACUGUACAUGCCCGGGCAUGUACAAUUGUUUAGACAAAGGUUGUCUGUAAUACUUUGCCAUAUCAUAUCUUCCCUACUAUUAAAGAAGAAUCGAACGUCGUGAUGGUUUGACCACCUCCUCACAUCCCUUUGUUCUACCAGCGUCCCAUUCCCACUUUCCCGAUCAAAAGAAAAAGGAAAACAACCUCGGUAAAAAAAAACCCACGACCAGGCACCCACGUCCCCAACUCUCCUCACCAAACCACCCCAUCGCUCCUCCCAUCCCAUCUCGCCCGAGAAAAAUCCCCCACCGCCGUAGCAGCCGUUCUCCAUUGCGCUACUGGCCGACGGCCGCUCACAGGAUUUCCCUCCUAGAUCAACUCGGUCUUCCUCCUCCACGCGCGCGCUGCUCCCACGGCCGUGGGCCGACUCAUCCUCUUCGCUCCCGCGCCGGGGCAGCGCUCAUGCGGGCGUUCAUGGAUCUGCAAGUCUCACCUCCUUCCUACCGCUCAAGCGCCGCCCAUGGAUAGACGAUGGCUUCAGUCGCGUCAACGGGGUCGAGGAGUCCCUUGACUUAAACCUCGCCCUCCCUGCGUCGACGGCCUCGCCUGUCUCGAUGGGGUUGGUUACUCGAUCUCCAUCACCCGUCUCAUCUCCGGCGAGUACGGUAUGGGUGUCGACGCCGCGUCAGACAAGAACAGCGCGUGCUCAUCGCUAGCUCGUCUGAAUUUUUUGGUCGACGUCGUCCUGCCGCCGCUCUCGGCGUGGGCGCUGCUCUCUGUGCCGGCGCCCACACCGCACUCUGCAUGUUCUUUAACAAAGGCUCUUUAAUGAGCGAAACCAAUCGAACACACAAACUACGUGGGUAACGAACCUUACAUAUUUCUCCGACGAUGAUGCUAGCAAGCUCCAUUGACCUUGACCGGAAGUCCGGAACCAUCCCUCCAGCAGCAAGGUUCGCAUCCCCCCUCUCGCUCUAUCUUUCCUGUUUCUUUUAUUCAUCCUUGUCUGAAGUGACCUGCUGUUCUUGUUAAGUAGUAGUAUAUGCUAGGCAUGAGCUUCUUGGUCCUGAAGAACAAUGAAAGUUUUACUAUAAAUUUUGAUCUGUGUGGAUCCUACGAAUUACUUUGAUGGAAGCACAAGGAUUAAUCUCAUCUUAUUGAACUCAAUGUUGAGACAUAUGUACCUGUAUAGGUUUUAUGUUUUAUACUUUUGACUUCUAUACUUUACUGUAUUAAAGAAAUAGAAAUGUUCAGGAGAAGAUGCAGUGCUGCAAAUAACUCAUCAUUCUCAUAGUAGCUAGCAAAUCAUUUUAUAUUACUAUGAGUUAUUCUACUCUUCCUGUGUAAUAUUACUAUUUUUCGGAUAGUCGUAGUAUUUAUGCAUGUUCAGUUUUAAUAGAAUUCUUCAGGUUUGCAUGCCGAGAUGUCUUCAGCAAAGGAGAGAUGUAUCGGUGGUAGAUUGUUGGCUGGUAAUAUCUAUCUAAUACUACUGAAGAUAAAUGUUCUUGAUCAGCCACUUGGACAAGAGAUCUGAUAAUGCUACUUCAGAACUUUACUUGGCCUAUAAUCCGUGACAUUCUGAUGGUUGCAUAGAUUAGAGAAAAAAAUGGACAAUGUAUUGUUUCUUUUCUUGCCAUCUUAGUGUUAAAUAAUUUUACCCUGUACCUUAGUAUCCAUGGAUAACAUUUUUGUAUAGCAAAGGUGAUAGCUAGAUCAUAAAAUUUGCUGAUCUGCAUGCCUAAUUUGAAAGUACAAUCUGUACUCAUAACAAGACUUUUAUCGCUCAAUAUGUCAGUUCAGAUGCUUAGGUUCUUGCACUUCCCAUUACGAUGAGACGUACUUCCCGUUGUGUUAUCCUGCUAAUGAAUGUAUCCAAUUUAUAGUGUAGUGGCUAAUUUCAUGCACUAAGUAGGUGUUAUAGAAUUUUGUCUUUUCUUUAAUGGUGUAUCUGUAGUUCUGCACAACACACCUUCUUGCUGAAUUACAUCAACAUAACCUGUUACACUAAAAUUAACAAAGCUCCUAUGCAAAAUUUACUUAUGUGACAAUUUGCACAUUCUACCACUCGAUCGGCUGCUUAACUCGUCCCUAAAUUGCACAUCGCUUAAUUACAUUAUUUAUCGCAGACCUUUUACUUGGUGUAUGUUAAAUAUCAGUUUGCUUUAGUGAUACUUGGUUGCUCAAGGGUAGUAGCAUUACAAGGUAUGAGAAGUAAACAUGCAGCGUAAAACACAAAGCAAACACGAAGCUCUCGCAUCAUACCUCAAACUGAUUUCCUACAGAUUUUCCUGCAGAACAACUACAUGGGAGUCUUAAAGUAAAUAGAGUACUAUUUCUUGUUAUGUAUAUGCUAUAUGGUUGCAGUACGAUGGACCCUUGGUAAAUAUAUUUCUUUCAGGUUCUGGACGAGGCCAACCAAUUAAGAAAAACCUUCUGACUGAUAGAGAUGCAGCCGGGACAAGUUGUAUGCCCAUAUUGCAAUUUCUGUGUGAAGCCUUCUAGAUGCCGGGAGCUGGACCUGGACGAUUGCAUCGGCAAGGAUGAGAAGCAGAUCAUGCGCCACCGCAAGGACAUGUGCACCGGCUCCUGUGCCAGGUACGGGGUCGACAACAGCCACCGCGAUCCCAAGGUCACACUACGUGCAGACUGCUCUAAGGAUAUGGUUGUAUAAUGCAAUUUUUGUCAUGUUGCUCUAUCUACGUAGUGACAAGUGUAGUACUCCCUUUCAUAGUUCAUGUGCAGUAUGGAGUAUGUUUUAUCACACAUGGUCAUGUGCACUAUGCAAUUUCCCUUUGAUGACUAACAAUUGGAACGAAA